GUGCCGUCGCACUGUGACAAG
rnacentral:miRNA from 1 species